rnacentral:rRNA from 1 species
UACGUAGGGGGCAAGCGUUGUCCGGAUUUAUUGGGCGUAAAGAGCUCGUAGGCGGUUCCGUAAGUCGAGUGUGAAAAAUCUGGGCUCAACCCAGUGAAGCACUCGAUACUGCGGUGACUAGAGUACGGUAGAGGAGUGUGGAAUUCCUGGUGUAGCGGUGAAAUGCGCAGAUAUCAGGAGGAACACCAACGGCGAAGGCAGCACUCUGGGCCGGUACUGACGCUGAGGAGCGAAAGCCAGGGGAGCAAACAGG